GAUGAAGAACGUAGCGAAAUGCGAUAAGUAAUGUGAAUUGCAGAAUUCAGUGAAUCAUCGAAUCUUUGAACGCACAUUGCGCCCCUUGGUAUUCCGAGGGGCAUGCCUGUUCGAGCGUCAUUAUAACCCUUCAAGCUCAGCUUGGUGUUGGGGCCUGCUGCACUGGCAGCCCUUAAAAUCAGUGGCGGCGCCAUCUGGCUCUAAGCGUAGUAAUUCUUCUCGCUAUGGAGUCCUGGUGGAUGCUUGCCAUCAACCCCCAAUUUUUCUAUGGUUGACCUCGGAUCAGGUAGGGAUACCCGCUGAACUUAAGCAUAUCAAUAAGCGGAGGA
rnacentral:misc_RNA from 1 species